GGGGAAUUUUCCGCAAUGGGCGAAAGCCUGACGGAGCAAUACCGCGUGAGGGAAGACUGCCUAUGGGUUGUAAACCUCUUUUUUCAGGGAGGAAUAAAAUGACGUGUACCUGAAGAAUAAGCAUCGGCUAACUCCGUGCCAGCAGCCGCGGUAAGACGGAGGAUGCAAGUGUUAUCCGGAAUCACUGGGCGUAAAGCGUCUGUAGGUGGUUUAAUAAGUCAACUGUUAAAUCUUGAGGCUCAACUUCAAAAUCGCAGUCGAAACUAUUAGACUAGAGUAUAGUAGGGGUAAAGGGAACUUCCAGUGGAGCGGUGAAAUGCGUAGAGAUUGGAAAGAACACCGAUGGCGAAGGCACUUUACUGGGCUAUUACUAACACUCAGAGACGAAAGCUAGGGUAGCAAAUGGGAUUAGAUACCCCAGUAGUC
rnacentral:rRNA from 1 species